rnacentral:snoRNA from 1 species
CAUUAUGAUGAUUUAUUUAAUCACGACGGUCAACUUAGCACAUCAUAUGUGCAUUGAUUAUAACGGCUGUGACAGGCCAUUCCUCUCUGACU